GACGUAGGGCGCGAGCGUUGUCCGGAUUUAUUGGGCGUAAAGAGCUCGUAGGCGGUUCGAUAAGUCGGACGUGAAAUCUCCACGCUCAACGUGGAGGGCCGUUCGAUACUGUCGUGACUCGAGUCCGGUAGGGGAGUGUGGAAUUCCCGGUGUAGCGGUGAAAUGCGCAGAGAUCGGGAGGAACACCCGUAGCGAAGGCGGCACUCUGGGCCGGUACUGACGCUGAGGAGCGAAAGCGUGGGGAGCAAACAGG
rnacentral:rRNA from 1 species